rnacentral:rRNA from 1 species
UACGGAAGGCAGCAGUGGGGAAUAUUGCACAAUGGGCGCAAGCCUGAUGCAGCCAUGCCGCGUGUAUGAAAAAGGCCUUCGGGUUGUAAAGUACUUUCAGUCGUGAGGAAGGUGUUAAGGUUAAUAACCUUAGCAAUUGACGUUAGCGACAGAAGAAGCACCGGCUAACUCCGUGCCAGCAGCCGCGGUAAUACGGAGGGUGCGAGCGUUAAUCGGAAUUACUGGGCGUAAAGGGCACGCAGGCGGUUAAUUAAGUUGGAUGUGAAAUCCCCGGGCUUAACCUGGGAAUGGCAUUCAAGACUGGUUAGCUAGAGUCUUGUAGAGGGGGUAGAAUUCCGAUGUGUAGCGGUGAAAUGCGUAGAGAUGUGGAGGAAUACCGGUGGCGAAGGCGGCCCCUGGCAAAGGACUGACGCUCAUGUGCGAAAGCGUGGGGAGCAAAC